rnacentral:rRNA from 1 species
UCGGAACGUGUCCUGGAGUGGGGGAUAACUAGUCGAAAGACUAGCUAAUACCGCAUACGAUCUAAGGAUGAAAGUGGGGGAUUCGCAAGAACCUCAUGCUCCUGGAGCGGCCGAUAUCUGAUUAGCUAGUUGGUGGGGUAAAGGCCUACCAAGGCAUCGAUCAGUAGCUGGUCUGAGAGGACGACCAGCCACACUGGAACUGAGACACGGUCCAG